AGUCGUAACAAGGUCUCCGUUGGUGAACCAGCGGAGGGAUCAUUACUGAGUUUACGCUCUAUAACCCUUUGUGAACAUACCUAUAACUGUUGCUUCGGCGGGUAGGGUCUCCGUGACCCUCCCGGCCUCCCGCCCCCGGGCGGGUCGGCGCCCGCCGGAGGAUAACCAAACUCUGAUUUAACGACGUUUCUUCUGAGUGGUACAAGCAAAUAAUCAAAACUUUUAACAACGGAUCUCUUGGUUCUGGCAUCGAUGAAGAACGCAGCGAAAUGCGAUAAGUAAUGUGAAUUGCAGAAUUCAGUGAAUCAUCGAAUCUUUGAACGCACAUUGCGCCCGCCAGCAUUCUGGCGGGCAUGCCUGUUCGAGCGUCAUUUCAACCCUCAAGCUCUGCUUGGUGUUGGGGCCCUACAGCUGAUGUAGGCCCUCAAAGGUAGUGGCGGACCCUCCCGGAGCCUCCUUUGCGUAGUAACUUUACGUCUCGCACUGGGAUCCGGAGGGACUCUUGCCGUAAAACCCCCAAUUUUCCAAAGGUUGACCUCGGAUCAGGUAGGAAUACCCGCUGAACUUAAGCAUAUCAAUAA
rnacentral:rRNA from 1 species